rnacentral:rRNA from 1 species
AUGGAACUCAGGCAGUGGCGCGCCAUUCCUAUCGCCGUCGUCACACCGCUGACCCCGUCACCGCCAGCAACAGCAGAAGGGGCCGUGUGUACACCGCAUGCCACGCCGUUUCCAACGUGGCGGAGCACAGCCACGCGGCCGGGGCGCUCGGACUCCGCCCGCUCUUCGGCGUACCCGCCGGCUCAACCUGCGCGGUCGGCGGCUCCGGCACGACGGAACCCCCGCGGAGUCGUCAUCCGUGCGCUCGACCACGCAAGAGGGCUUCAGCCAUGUGGACCACGCGGGAGCAGGAUCCGCGCUCGGACCCGUCCUCUCCGGGCUCCCGUUCGUGGAGCGCGCCGACGUAGCGGCCAGCCACAGCGGACACCCUCGUUUCUCCCAGGAGUGCCACAACGUCGCCGACGUGGCAGGGCACGACCUGGACGCUCGGGUUCGGGCUAUCCCCGCUCCUCGGCGGCUCCACCUCCGUCACCACGGGAGUGCGACUCGACCUGGGUGAUGAAGGUGGCGAGGGCCACGGCGAGGAGGACGUCAAUGCCGUGGGCCUCGCGGGAGCAAGAUCCGCGCUCGGCCCUGUCCCCGUCGAGUUCCCGUCGUCCGUGGCACACACAAGCUCUACUCACGGCCAACCAUAACGGACGCCGCUGUCUCUCCACGGAGUGCCAUGCCGUUGCCGACGCGGUGGGGCACGGCUGCAGGGCCGGGGCGCUCGGGCUCCGCCCCCUCCUUGGCACACCCGCCCGCUUCCUCGUGGGCUCCAUCUCGGGCGUGACUGGUCUCCAAGGCAGAGUCGUGGUCGGCGCGCUCAACAUGUGGAGAUGGCGAGGGCGAGGAGGACGUCACGGACGAGCUCAGGUUUCAGGAUGCUCAUCGCCAUAUACAGGCCGUUCUCCACUUGAUUUAUGUCAGGAGUCGAAUCAAAACUGCGGUUCACUGUUCACAUUGGGUCUUCUAUCUGCUGGUAAAAGAACUCAAAGCAUGCGUGACGCAAUCAGACACAUCGGUCCGACGGCGCCGGUGUACCAUUGGAAAAUCAAUAGGUGUGAUGCUGUCUUGCGGGAAGUCAUGGGAGAAAAUCUUCACAAGGAAGUGAUCGUCGCGUCGCCAAAGGAGGACGAAGGCGAUUUUGGCUGCAUCGUCAUCUGUGGGAAUGAAAUUCUUCACGGAGUUGCCAACUUCAUGGUAGCCAACCAACCUUCUCUCACUUCUCUUUGUUAG